UACGUAGGGGGCAAGCGUUGUCCGGAUUUAUUGGGCGUAAAGAGCGUGUAGGCGGCUUUACAGGUCCGUUGUGAAAACUCGAGGCUCAACCUCGAGACGCCGGUGGAAACCGUAAAGCUAGAGUCCGGAAGAGGAGAGUGGAAUUCCUGGUGUAGCGGUGAAAUGCGCAGAUAUCGGGAGGAACACCUAUGGCGAAGGCAGCUCGCUGGGACGUUACUGACGCUGAGACGCGAAAGCGUGGGGAGCAAACAGG
rnacentral:rRNA from 1 species